CCUGGCGGCGUGCCUAACGACAUGCAAGUCGAGCGAGAUUCGGGGAGCUUGCUCCACUGGAAUUCAGCGGCGGACGGUGAGUAACGCGUGAGCAACCUGCCUUCAACAGGGGGAUAACGCAUCGAAAGAUGUGCUAAUACCGCAUGAGACCACAACAUCACAUGGUGAAGGGGUCAAAGGAGCAAUCCGGUUGAAGAUGGGCUCACGUCCGAUUAGCUGGUUGGUGAGACAACGGCCCACCAAGGCGACGAUCGGUAGCCGACCUGAGAGGUGAUCGGCCACAUUGGAACUGAGAUACGGUCCAGACUCCUACGGGAGGCAGCAGUGGGGAAUAUUGGGCAAUGGGCGAAAGCCCUGACCCAGCCAACGCCGGCGUGAGGGAAGUAAGGGUUUCGGCUCGUAAACCUCUGUCCUGUGGGACGAAGGAAGUGACGGUACCACAGGAGGAAGCCCCGGCUAACUACGUGCCAGCAGCCGC
rnacentral:rRNA from 1 species